GCCAGGCACAGUGGCGCGUGCCUAUAGUCCCAGCUACUCAGGAAGCUGAGACUGGAGGAUCGCUUGAGUCCAGGAGUUCUGGGCUGUAGUGCACUAUGCCAAUGAGGUGUCUACACUAAGUUUGGCAUCAAUAUGGUGACCUCCCAGGAGCGGGGGACCACCCUAAGAAGGGGUAAACCAGGCCAGGUUGGAAACGGAGCAGGUCAGAGCUCCCGUGCUGAUCAGUAGUGGGAUCCUGCCUGUGAAUAGCCACUGCACUUCAGCCUGGGCAACAUAGCGAGUCCCCAUCUCU
rnacentral:SRP_RNA from 1 species